AAAAACUCCGGUGGUAUGAGAUGGGCCCGCGUCUGAUUAGCUAGUUGGCGGGGUAACGGCCCACCAAGGCGACGAUCAGUAGCCGACCUGAGAGGGUGACCGGCCACAUUGGGACUGAGACACGGCCCAAACUCCUACGGGAGGCAGCAGUGGGGAAUAUUGCACAAUGGGGGAAACCCUGAUGCAGCGACGCCGCGUGAGCGAUGAAGUAUUUCGGUAUGUAAAGCUCUAUCAGCAGGGAAGAAGAUGACGGUACCUGACUAAGAAGCCCCGGCUAACUACGUGCCAGCAGCCGCGGUAAUACGUAGGGGGCAAGCGUUAUCCGGAUUUACUGGGUGUAAAGGGAGCGUAGACGGCGGUGCAAGCCAGAUGUGAAAGCCCGGGGCUCAACCCCGGGACUGCAUUUGGAACUGUAUGGCUGGAGUGUCGGAGAGGCAGGCGGAAUUCCUAGUGUAGCGGUGAAAUGCGUAGAUAUUAGGAGGAACACCAGUGGCGAAGGCGGCCUGCUGGACGAUGACUGACGUUGAGGCUCGAAAGCGUGGGGAGCAAACAGGAUUAGAUACCCUGGUAGUCCACGCCGUAAACGAU
rnacentral:rRNA from 1 species